AACUGUGCAAUACGCUGUGAUAAACAUAUGCAUGCAGGUGUCUUUUUGAUAUAAAUACUAAACACCUCUAUCAAAGAAGGCCCAAAAUGGCAGGAGAAACAUUUCAUAUAAAACAAUAAUUAUCAGGAUAGUCACUUGUUAUUGAGUACCUAUAUUGCAUCUGAUGUUGUAAAUAUAUUCAAAUAUUUAAUCCCUAAAGCAACCUUUAAAGUUAAGUGUUACCACUCUCAUCUCCAGAUGAGGCAGUGAAGUGUCUGAGGGAUCUAAUAAACUGUUCAAGUUACACACAUGAAAAUUUGAUGUACACUUAUUCUGAUUCCAAAGGCCAGGCUUUUUUAGAUCUUAGCACUGCUCUUAUACAAGCAACAAAUGAAAGAGGUUCAAGGAAAGAGAAAUUUCACCCAAUGUAUUGAGGAAAAGGGUAAAUAUGGAUGCUACUGCAAUAGACUGAAAGGUUAUGUCCUCUCAAAAUUCAUGUGCUGAAAUCUAAUCUCCAAGGUGAUGGUAUUAGAAUGUGGAACAUUUGGGAAGUGAUUAUGUCAUGAGGGUGGGAUGGGAUUAGUGUCCUUAUAAAAGAGGCCCCAGAGAGUUCCAUCAUCCUUUCCAUCAUGUGACAACACAGUGAGAAAAUGGCUGCCUGUGAACCAGGAAGUAGGCCCUCAGCAGACAAGGAAUCUCCUAGCACCUUGAUCUUGGACUUCCCAGCCUCCAGAACUCUGAUGGACUGCUCACAAUUCCCUGAGGCAACGCUAUUAUAUCAAAAAUGAGGUUGUGAGAGCUAACUGAUUCAUUCAAAAUCAAGUUAAAGGCAGAGCUGGAAUUGAAGGAGUUGUUCUUAAGCAUUCUAAACGAAGUGAGAGUAGCUGUCUAUCUCCUGUAGUGCUAUGUAUUUCCAGUCAUCAUCCAGAACAACAAAAACUGUAUCUGGUUUGUAUUAGUUAGGAUUGAAGCUCAGUUGCGGUCACAAAGGGUUCAAACAAUACUGUGGUUCAAAGGAGUUUGUUUCUUACACUACAGUCCAGCAAGAAACAGGCAGGGCACUACAGGUAGGUAACUCUGCUCCAUGAGGGGGUAAGGGAGAAGGGAAAUCUCCUUUGCCCUCUGAAGGUUCACUGAAAAAUCAACUCACAAAAAGGCAGAAUAAUUGGAGAAAAGGCAAACAAAUGUUAUUAACGUGUACACAGGGAGAACCACAGAGUGACUAUCCAUGCCGCCAUCUAUUUCAGAAGCUUAUAUACUGUCCUGGCAAAUCAAGUUAUGGAAGGCAGGAGAAGAGGAAUGAGAUUGAGAAUAUUUCUAGGGAGAAUGAAUGAAUCAGGGAGCAGACAUUGCACAUUAUCUUAUGAAAGGGUCUGUUCAAGCGUGGCUACAUUCUUGGUCUUACAGAGAACAGGGGAGAAAAUUGUUCCUUUUGGUGGGUCUGGAUCUUACUUAGGCAGAUAAAAGAUUUGGGGAGACAAUGGUGGGGGAAGGUCAGAGAGACCUUGAGGCUUCUUCAAUUCAGCAUGUCAAAGCACCAUACUUUGGGGUAUGGUUUCUGACACACAACAAGGUCAUUCAGGGACACAGCUUCCUUCUGAGAACUAAAAAUAAAAUCCUACACCCACCCCCUAACCCCUAACCAACUGAUUGGGCUCACUCUCAGCCAAGGGGACUCCAGAGAAACCUUAAAAACUGAGUUCCUGGCCAUAACUGGACAGGCGGUUGGAUAUGCCUAUUUAUAGCCCCUUCCUUUUGUGGUUUAGACAUACAAGUGAGCAGCAUUAAUGUAAAAAUAGAGAUGAUAAGACAGGCAGAAUGGGCUCUUUCUGACAAAAAGACACCAAGUUAUAAACAAGACCUAAGGCCACUGCAGGCAAAAGUUACAUCAUGCACCCCUACACUUAAAGAAUAAACUAUGUACUCACUGCCACGAGGAUUUUCUUUUUCUCUAGCAGCUAAAUAAGCACUGGCCUUGAGAUAAACAGUAUUGAAACAAUUGCAGCUCAUCCACUUCCAGGCACUGACUCACUGAUUCCCCUGUUCCACAAGCCAGAACUAUAGCUUUGAUUAGACCAGAGACUGAUUUCAGUAACUUUCUCCUGAUAAGAGACCACCCACAUGGACAGGUUCUGGCUUAUUUACCGAGGCUUUGCACUGAAUGCCUUCAUGUCCCCGCUUCACAUUUUGACAUAUAGGGCCUAAUUGUCAUGCAUUUAAAUGUUAAGUCUCUACCCCAAAGUGAAUAUGGGACAAAUGUAACAUAUAUGUUUGUUCAGUUUGCAUGUGUUAAGACCCCCUUCAUGAAUAUUCAGAGCUAUAACCUGUUGGAUAGACUUGAUCAAGGCAUUCUGUAUAAAUUCCUAUUUCAUCCUUCCCUCCCUCCAAGUGCCUGCCAAUGGCCUCUGCCAGGGGCUAUGCUUUCCAGCCUGUCAGAAUGGCCACCUUGCAAGCUGUAACCCUUUAUAAGAAAUAGUCUCCUUUCCAAAUUUAUAGAUAUUGUGAUUUAUAGAUUUUUUUUAGUUCAUGCUUCUAUCCGAUGGCUUCACCAGCCUAUGCAAUUGUAUCCACAUCUAAAAGGACAAAUAUUAUUUACAUCCUUUGAUACAGUUCGGAUACUUGUCCCUGCCCAAAUCUUAUGUUGAAUUGUAAACCCUAAUGCUGGAGAUGGGGCCUAGUGGACGUUGUUUGGAUCAUGAGAGUGGAUCCCUCCAGGCUUGGUGCUGUCUUUGCUGUAGUGAGUGAGUUCUCCAGAGAUCUGGUCAUUGAAAGGUGUGUGGCACCUCCCCCAACCCUACUCUCCCUCUUGGUCCUGCUUUUACCAUGUGAUGUGCCUGCUCCCCCUUCACCUUCCACCAUCAUUGUCAGCUUCCUAAGGCUUCCCUAGAAGUUGUGCAGAUGCCAGCACCAUGCUUCCUGUAAAGCCUGCAGAAUCGUGAGCGA
rnacentral:lncRNA from 1 species